rnacentral:rRNA from 1 species
UACGGAGGAUGCGAGCGUUAUCCGGAUUUAUUGGGUUUAAAGGGUGCGUAGGCGGACUGGUAAGUCAGUGGUGAAAACCUGCAGCUUAACUGUAGAAUUGCCAUUGAUACUGUCAGUCUUGAGUACGGUCAAGGUAGGCGGAAUGUGUAAUGUAGCGGUGAAAUGCUUAGAUAUUACACAGAACACCGAUUGCGAAGGCAGCUUACUGGGCCACCACUGACGCUGAGGCACGAAAGCGUGGGGAGCGAAC